GUUCUAACAGAGCAAAUAAACGAG
rnacentral:siRNA from 1 species